CGGCAUGCGCUCUGUAUUUCACUCCGUACUGCGCAAGUCAGCUCUUUAGCGAGCGGAGCAUUUAGCCGCGUUACAGCCGUGCUACAGCCCUGCAGAGAAAGCAGCACAUUUUGUAUCCUGCCCCGACUGGCUCGUGGAAAUAAGAGACACCCUAUUAACAGCCCUUGUCCAAACAAAGCAUCGGCCGGGCCAGUGCCAGCGCUUUCCAUCCAGGAGCAGUGUUUGUUUUUCCGUGCUCUUAAUCUCACACGUUGAACUGGGUCUGGUAGAAGUGACUUCCCGGCUGUUGCAUAACCCUGGUGUCUUCGGGGUGGGGGACACGUGGACCUGACCUCGAGCUCGGGAAGUUUCCUCGCACCAGGGAGAAGCUCCCCAAAGCCUGAACCGUCUCUGCCGGACCUCUGCGUCCGGGGGGGCCGGGGGAUCCGGGUGCUCCUCGCGGGGCUGCAGGCUGCUGCACCAGCAGAGCAUCAUUGCUUCUCUCCAAAAAGGCGGCAGAGCAGAAAUCCUGUCCGUAUCUGGCACAGUCCAGCCUCCAGGGAUUAAUUAAAGGCUUUUUCAGUUUCUCUUUCAGACCCCACAACGCCGGUCCCUGCCUCGCUGAGGAGGGGACGGGAGAGGCGUGUGCUCCGGGGAAUCACCAGGCUGCUUCAGUUUUCGGUUUUACGCUGCAGUCGUGUUUUGCACCUGGGGGAAUACCGCAGCGCGGCCAGAGCCGGGCUCCUCCGUGUCGGGUCCUUACGUCACCGGUGCACGGCCUCGAGGUCCUUCUGCCUUGUGCUGGCUGACUCCAGCUGCCCCCAGCGUGGGAUCCCCUCUGCAAGGAGCUGCUGGCAUCGGAGUAUUUUCUUCCGAAUAUUGCCCAGAAAUGCGUGCUGCUGCUGCUGUGUUAUACUCCGCUUCAGAGGCUGGCGAGCCAGUUAAUCAGCUGUCCCUCCAUCCCUCCAGCCAGCUGCUUCUCAUAUGUACAGAAGGUGACGGAGAUCCCAAACGAACCUCGCUCCCCGCUGCUCUGCCACAUCGAGCUCUCUCCUCCCGCAGGCACCGUGUUUUUCCCUCGUUUCGGAGAGGAAGAGGACUACGUGGGACAACGGGGAACGGAGAAGGGUGCGUUCACGUAACGACGCGGCGGUGCCUUCUGCAAGAUGGGAAUGAUUAUUAUUGCAAUUUAGAGCAGAGCUUGUUCUCUUCUUCUGCGACUGCAUCUGCUUGCUAUUCUCCAGAUUAACACCUAUUUUAAUAGAAGGCAAAUUUCACGAUUGCGGCUGAGCACUGGACAACCCUACGGAUGCAAGGAGGUUUUCGGCAUCUUCGCGCUGCUCCUGCAAGGGCCGAGCGCCCAGCUGGUCCCUGCCAUAAAUUAAAGUAGCCCUGAGAUUUCUUUGACUCCUUCCACCUACGAGAGGCCUCAGAAGAGGGUAUCGAGGGCAGUAAAUAGCAGGUGUGAGUCCCCUGCCCCAUUUUCGGGUUGCGGGGUGUCUCUGAAAUGUCCCAUCGGAGGGUCACCACUGUGCGGCCCCCCGCUUCGCCCCGGCUACGCGCUCACCUUCGCGGCUGCGUUAAUUCUGUAAUCGCUGAUAUUCGGUGAGCCGAUUCCCUGCAAAAAUCAGUGUAUUUACGCCUGGUACGGCGGCACCGCGCUCGUCCCGAGGGCAGCGGCAGCGCGAAACGCGAGCACCGCGCUCUGCAGCACUUCGGGGGACGUUUAAACGAAGGCUAAACCCUUCAUUUAAAAACAUCUGUUAAUCCUAAUUACGUGCCCGUCACCCAAAGGUUACCUGUUUUAUUCCUUUAGGUAUGCAAAAAGACGCGCUGGCGAAGGAGGAUGAGACGCGGCUGGUUUCUUCCCCGGAGAUCAUGUUUCUCAUGUUUCCUACUUGUUGCAUAACGGCUUAUUUUAGCACCGAUCAGCUGAGGCUUUGUUGUGCAGACAAUCCGGCCCUUUCGGGGGAUCCGUGCAGCGCUGGUUCUUCCAAAACGCUUUUUUGUUUUUAUUAUUAGAUUUAUUUCUCCUCUUAGCGAACGCCGACUGACAGCACCCUGCCGCAGCUCUUCAUAAGCGUUGCAUAAAUGUCUCGCUACGUAAACGGGGCACCGUGCAGUUAAUAUACGUGACCUUUCUGCAGGAGCAUCCAUCCAGUGUUAUCUCGGUGCAUAUUAGCUGCGUGUGUUGCAUAUACGUGUUUGUGUAGGUAUUUGGUAUAAAUGCGCAUAUAUGGUAGCCAGAAAUCUGUUAAGUGCGUGAUCAAUGCUGCAAGGGAAAGUACUCAAAAUUAAGCAAUGCCAGAAUCCCGCCUGCCCGUGCAGCUUAAUAAAUGGCCUUUUGUUGGAGCACAGCGAGGUUUUAAUUGCCCGGUCGGAUGC